UAGGAAAGAGGCUGCCAGAAAUUGAU
rnacentral:piRNA from 1 species